UAAGUGUAUUAUAAUUAUUAUAAAUGUAAAAAAAAGAUUGUUCUGUAAAAAUUGUAAAACCACUUUCCACCAUGAAUCUAAAUGAUGUGAUCCAGCUGUCAGCAGAAUAAAAUGACACAUCUGCUUUUUGAAACCUUCUGAGAAUGGCUGUUUAUGAACAAUGCUUCUGUGAAAACAAUUUUCCUCACACAAGGUGCUAUUUUUUGCUUUUAGCAUAUUAUUGAAAGCCAUAGAACAAUAGAUUUUUUUUUUUGAAUGAGUACAAAAAUCUUUUUUUAUACAAACACUAAGCAAUGUGUUUUUUUUUUUUUUUUUUUUUUCAUCUCUCAGGCUUUUAAAGUUUAUGGCCAGACAGAAGACUGGUAGAAUGUGCACUGCAGAAGAAGUGGCACAUCUGUGUGUGUACUUGGCCUCAGAUGAGUCUGCCUAUGUAACAGGAACAGAAGCCAUCAUUGAUGGAGGAUGGAGACUCUGAGGAUGUUUUGUUACAUUUAUUAAAUAACCUGUUAACAUGCAUGCAGUUUGAGUUCCAGACAAACAUAGUCACUGAUUUUCUUCAUCUUUAAAACUGUAAUGCUGCAAUGGUGCUGUUGAUUGUACUGAAUAUGAAUUGAAUCGUUCCUGGUAAUAGAUGUCAAAAAUUGUGGAUGUCAAGCUCACUUACUGCAUGUCAUCUAAUCUUCAG